AAAUAAUGCUCUGAAUAUGAGAAGGCACUGAUCGUCACAAACAUUCAGAGACAAAGAGAGAGACAAGACUGGCAGACACUCAAUGGUGAGCAAGAACAGGGAAAAGGAAAGACCCCCAAAGGCCAGAGGAGUAAAAGAAAGUCUGAAGGCACAUGAGCCCGAGCCGGAGCCCGACAAUAUGAAGGAAUGGAAUGCCUGAGAUCAGUGGGAAGCGCUUAGAUGAUAAGAAACACGGAAGUAAAUGGUCUAAUUUAUGGUCUAAAAAAAAUCCCUCUGGAUAUCUUUGGGAAAGUGAAUAUGAGAAGCUGAGCAGGCAAGCUGCAAACAGAUGAACAGACCUCUAGGUAGUCACUUGUGGUGAUGCGAUACCAGAGAAAAGGAACAGGAGGCAGAAGAUGGGAACUAUUUGUGAGGAGCGGGUGUGGCCUCGGCCCCAAUAUGGCGCCCGGGACUGCUGCCAAGUCUUAUGACUGGCACAUGACUUCCUCAUAUCCCUCAAGAUAGCCACGUACCUUGAGCUGCAUUGCACAGAUGCACCAUGACGUAAGAUCGCUUCUUUUCUGCUGGCCAGAGAUGGUAGCGACAACUAUUCAGUGGCAAGUUGUGAUAUGGGGUUUCUCCCAGGCUACGACUUCAGUGAGAUUAAAGGAUAGAAAAGAGCAUUCCCAUUCAAAAGCAUUUAAGGAAAGCAGGAGGCUUUGGAACCCACAGGAGAAGGUGAUUUUCCUCAGCUGCUUCACCUGGGCCAGGCAGGCCGGAGGGCCUUCGAGAGUCAGAAGUGUAUAGAGGAAAAACACAGACUACCCAGACACAGAACUGACUCUCGUUGGGAAACGACAGUAAGCAUUACUCAGCCCCUGGAAAGAGGCCUUUUCUGCAGCCAGGCACGGGAAGCCCAAGAAGACCUCAUUCAACUUGAUAUUGAACUUGCCAGGGGUGUUGAAGCAGAAAAGAUGUUUAAUGUGGCCUUUUGCUUUGAUCGUUCAUACAGGCAGAGACCCAUGAAAUCCUGGAGCUAAGAGACUUUGAAAUAUCCCACUCUCUUCCUAAUGCUCCAAUUCCCUUCCCAGCCUCCUCAUUAGGACACCACAGCCAACAGCCAGCAUGUGCGUCUGUGACCAUGCUCUCUGGCCUUCAAGAAGACUUCCAGUAUCUAAAGAUCACCCCUCUUCCCCUCACCCAGAGUGCCAGUCAUUGUGUCCAGAGCAAAGCUAUGAGAAGCAUACGGGAGACACACGGAUAAGACUUCAAACCCUAGUGAAAACACAGGGUUUUGAAGUGGAAAAGUCCUCUUGACCACACUAAAGUCUUAGUCAGGGUUUCUGUUGCUGUUUUAAAACACCAUUGACCAAAGUCAAUUUGGGGAGAAAGGAUUUACUUUUUCUUAUACUUCAAGGUCAGAGUUUUUCACUCAGGGAAGUCAGGGCAAGAACUUGAGGCAAGAACCUAGAGACAGGAGCUGAAGGCCUUGGAGGAGUGCUGCUUGCUUCCCAUAGUUUGUGCAACCUACAUUCUUAUAGACUUGGGACCACCAGCCUCAGGGUUACCACCACAAUGAGCUGGGCCCUUCCCACAUUCAUCAUCAACCAAGAAAAUGUCCCAUAAGCUUGCCCACAGGAUAAUCUGAUAGAAGCAUUUUCUCGAUUGAGGUUCCCUCCAUCUUCCCAAAUUACUCUGGCUUGUGUCACGUUGAUGUAAAAAUUGCUGGCACACCAGAUGGUCAGGAGAAUCUGUGAGUAUAGGUGCUAUAGACAAGAUUAUGUUUGGGGUGAAACAAAAGGUAAGAUUUAAAAAGUGUCCUUUUGAGAGAGUGGAAAGAGUGAAUGUAGUUUCUAGAGGAAGAAACCAACUUGGGCAAGACUCAGUUGAAGGGAAUUUGGGGCUCUGAUGGUGCCUAUGGGGAGAUAGGCAGGUUAGAUAUAAGAGGGAAGGAAGGGCUCACAGUUGGAAAAUAGGCAAGCAGGAUAUCUUAGGAGGCCUGAAUGGCAGCAAAGAGACUCUGGAGAUAACUAGGAGCCCCAGGAAGCUCUUGAGCACACAGAAGGUGUGACUGUAGUUCACUCUAGGUAUCAUGCAGAAACUCAAGAUAGCAUCAGGGACACAGGAAGAACUGGGGCGUGGGGUGUGGACUUCUCUGUGUCUCAACAGUCAGGGCAGGCUCUGGGCUGGGAGACCUUCCUCUCUAGUUUUCUACCGAGAACCCAGGACUUCAAGCAAAGCUGGGUCUUUGAGGUAUGUCUGAAGAGCUGGUUAUACUUCUCUCAGGAGAUGAUGGGAACAAUUUUGAUUCAUUUCUCUUUUUAAUAUGAGGCUCUUUAUACACAAUUCACACAGUUCAGAGGGGGUACUGGAAACCCAGGCUGCUGUUCUGUAUAUUCACAGGCAUCCCCCCACCCCCCAUAUUUGAAACGGAAAGAUACUAUGAUGCAGCCUCCUCUCAGAGAGCCUGUCUUUGGUAAAGUGUUUGCCACUUGUCUAUCCACAUGUUUAUCCACAUGUCUACAUGUGCCUCACUUCCUCUGAUAGCAAUGUUGCAGCCUACAUUCCCACUCUGCUUGCACUGUGCUCUUCCCUCCCUCCCUACGGUAUUUCCUGCCUCCCUGUGAUGAUACCACUACACCUAGAAGACAUGGGGCUGCUGCAGAGUGGUUCAGCCGUGUUGGAAAGGGAACAGGGAUAACUUGCUCUGGAAGAAAGCAACAAAGUGUUCCAGAUCUGUCUCACAGCCCAGCACUUCCAGCUCAACAGUGGGAUUGUGGUCUUGAGUUUGGUCUCCACGUGUGGACAAAAGGAUGCUCCGAACCUUGGUAGCAAGCAUUGAUUGCCAUCAGAUUUUUUCCUCUGAUGUUGAAGAUUAACACCUCUGCACUAGAAGCUAUGGUUAUGUUCACUAUGGAUUUGUAGGUGACAAUGAAUCUAAUUCUCUUUAAAGGCAUUACGUGAUUGUUUUAUGGUGUAGUGAUGACAUAAUUGUAAAGAGAGAAUCUCUAUUGGUCAUCAUUAACAUGAUGAUUGAGGUCUCAUAGAUAAAGCAGUUUCUGGGGGGGGUAUUCCUUUUCUUAAUUUUUUGUACCCCCCAUCUAUGUUGUCAACUGGCUAGUCUCAGCCUCUCACCCAAGGGAAAGUCUUUGACAGCUCUCCUCUGAACAUUUUCAUUUGGGUUGAUUUCAUGUAACUCAUUAAUUCAUUAUUCACGUACUUAUCCAACUUAGUAAUGGAUAGUUUAAACCCUCAAAAAGUAGAAGGCCAAUUCAGUGCAUUCUCUUUCCUCUUUCCCCUUUUGUUUCCUUCCCAAAGACGUUUGCAUUUCCAUUGUCUAGUUGUCUAGUUGUCUGGGAUGUUUUCCUUCCUUAUCUAUCUUACACAGGGAGAAGCAGAGCUAUUCACACAGACUUCUCUGGGGGCACAAGUUCUUACUGCCUUUUCUCCUUGGAGUGUAAAAGCCCUGCUUCUAAAUGCCAGAAGGUGUCAUCAAGUGCAGGCAAACCCAGAGGGACCCCUGACCUCUAGCCUGACCCCACUUGAAGAUUACUUGAGGGUACUGAGCUCACUGUUGGCUUUGACACUAAAUACUGCUUCAUGCAGUCUCUUAGAGGAAUCUAAGCUCUCAGAUUUUUUUGUGCCAAUUCUACAAGAUCUUGGUGGGGCAUACAGUUGUGUAUCAUGAGGAAGUCAUAGCAUUCUCUUUUUCAGGUUAUAAUUCUUUAGCUUUCUGUGGCAAGACUGAAGUGGAUAUUAUUUGCUCUAGUCCAACCUUUACAGAUUUGGGGUAUUUCGACCAUGGUUGCACUACUGAUGCUGGCCCUACCUUUCCCAACUGAUGCCUUGGUUUCCCACCACACUGGAGCCUUUCUUGCUCAUUGAUGGUGCUGGAGAGCUGUCCUGUCCACUAAUGAUGCUGGGGCAUUCUGUUGCUCAUCAAUAGAAUCAGGAGCUAUACUUUCUCCUAGAGCAUCACAAUUCAUCAUUUCUAGAGGCUCUCCUCUGUGCAUGCUGGCUUCUGGGAAAGGCAUCUAAGGCCCAUUUGGUAAAGCAGUCUCUUCCAAACAGAAAAGGUACCUUCCAUUUGUGAGCAUCAUGACCUUCAGUACUGGGUCAUUGGACAAUCCUCCAAGACCAGCAGCCUGGAACUUCAAAGUUUAACCACUUCUUGCCCAUAGUCCUGUGGGCUUCACGUACAGAGAUAGCAAUAAGUCAGUAUAAACUGAACUCUAACUAUCUUGAUAGUGGCAGAUCUAUGAAAGCCUGCAUGGUGGGGAAAAUAUAUGCAGAUGCCCUGCUGGAGAAGAACUCAGGUUUGAACCUACUGAAAUGCUAAGCAAAGUAUGUAAAAGAUAAAAAUUAAGAAAAAAAAGUUA